rnacentral:misc_RNA from 1 species
AAGAAGAACUCAAGGGAGUAGCAAGCAGUUUAUCUGCGUUUCUAUCGUCAUUACAGUCAUAAUUGGCUCGGUAGUUACUUAAUUUGCGAGACUUGUAGCUGAUGC